GAUCCUGCCGGACCCCACUGCUAUCGGGAUGGGACUAAGACAUGCUAGUCGUGCGCCUCCCAGCCAUGGCGGAGGCGCGGCGUACAGCUCAGUAGCACGUGGCUAACCUACCCUUGGGACGGAAACAACCCCGGGAAACUGGGGCUAAUUUUCGAUAGGUGAAGACUCCUGGAAUGGACCUUCGCCCAAAAGACGCUUAAACCAUGCUUUUAGGCGUUGCCCAAGGAUGGGGCCGCGGCCGAUCAGGUUGUUGGUGAGGUAACGGCUCACCAAGCCUUUGACCGGUGCGGGCCGUGGGAGCGGGAGCCCGGAGAUGGGCACUGAGACAAGGGCCCAGGCCCUACGGGGCGCAGCAGUCGCGAAAACUUUGCAAUACACGAAAGUGUGACAAGGCCAUCCCGAGUGCCGUCCGCUGAGGAUGGCUUUUCUCCAGUGUAGAUAGCUGGAGGAAUAAGGAGAGGGCAAGUCUGGUGUCAGCCGCCGCGGUAAUACCAGCUCUCCGAGUGGUGGGGAUGUUUAUUGGGUCUAAAGCAUCCGUAGCCGGCUGGGCAGUUCCCUGUUAAAUCCAGCGAUUUAAUCGUUGGAUUGCGGGGGAUACUGCCCGGCUAGGGGAUGGAAGAGGCCGACGGUAUUUUCGGGGUAGGGGUGAAAUCCUAUAAUCCCGGAAGGACCACCAGUGGCGAAGGCUGUCGGCUAGAACACGCCCGACGGUGAGGGAUGAAAGCUGGGGGAGCGAACCGGAUUAGAUACCCGGGUAGUCCCAGCCGUAAACGAUGCAGGCUAGGUGUUUGGGCGGCUACGCGCCGCCCUAGUGCCGCAGGGAAGCUGUUAAGCCUGCCGCCUGGGGAGUACGGCCGCAAGGCUGAAACUUAAAGGAAUUGGCGGGGGAGCACCACAAGGGGUGAAGCUUGCGGUUUAAUUGGAGUCAACGCCGGGAAUCACUAGUGAAU
rnacentral:rRNA from 1 species